AAACUCCUGAGACAUGCGACAGGUAUCCUUUAAAUUCAACCGACAUGCACUAUACGGGAGAUCGGGUCUUGCAAUAGUAAGAUGCCAUUAUAUUUAUAUAAAGGAAUUUAAAUUUGCGAGCAGGUCACCCACCUGGGAGAUUCUCGGGUCUGAAUUUAUGGGGCCAACGGUGCCUUGGGAAUAAA
rfam:Terrisporobacter sp. 08-306576 Contig109, whole genome shotgun sequence.